GUUUUUUUCCGUUUUUUCUUUUUUUUUGGUUUUUUC
rnacentral:sRNA from 1 species